GUACUCACUUCGGCAGCAUAUAUACUAAAAUUAGAACAAUACAGAGAAGAUUAGCAUUGCCCCUGCGCAAGGAUGAUAUACAAAUUCGUGAAGCAUUCCAUAUUUUU